AGGAAAGAGUUAAAAAUGAGACUACAAAAACGCUGACUAAACUUCCCUGGUGCAAUAAUCUAAUGUAGGAAAGAAGAAAAAAAUGGAUUGAUAGAUAUUGUGUGUGUGUGUGUGUGUGUGUGUGUGUGUGUGUGUGUGUGUGUGUGUGUGUGUGUGUGUGUGUGUGUCGAAGCCCAGUGCUGCCAUUGUUCCUUCUUCCCUUCCCUUAAGGCAACCCUGACCCUAUUUUCCCUUACUGUUAGAGGAGCCCCCCUUAAACCUCACCCCCGGCAACCCUAACCCAAUUUUCUCUCAGUACUUCUUCCAUUAAACAAUUGUUCUUCUCUCUAUUAACAUCCCCUGACUUAAAACAAAAUCCUAACCCUUAUUUACUUAUCUCAAACAUAAGUAAAUGUAUAUGUUUUAAUUUUAAGGCUGUCAGGUUAUCUAUGAAGCACCCACAACAGUGAAACUCCCUCAGACUUAAACAAUUGUUCUCUCUAUUAACAUCCCCUGACUUAAAACAAAAUCCUAACCCUUAUUUACUUAUCUCAAGCAUAAGUAAAUGUAUAUGUUUUAAAUUUAAGGCAACCCCUCCAUCCCUCCCCCUUUUAACGAGAUGCUUUCAGGUUAUCUAUAAAGCAUCCACAACAGUGAAACUCCCUCAGACUUAAGUCCUUAUUCUGAGACGUAUCGGCCAGGCUCCCACCACGACUAUUCCCCAAAGCCACAUACAGAGGAUAUUAAGCAUUCAUGUUCUACGACAGCCUUGGCAAGUGUGGUUGUGUGUAAGCCCCGACUCGGUAAGAACAUGAGCCAAUGAUUAUGGAAACAGCACACGAGAAUAUAAAUAGGAAUAACUAUUGAUAAUAAUAAGAAGUAGAAUAAGGAUAAGAAUAAUGAAGCUCUCGGUAAUGCCUUAAUGCAGCAGGAGAAAGUAGGACCUAUUCAACUGAUCUCCUCCUCCUCCUCCUCCUCCUCCUCCUCUUCCUCUUCCCUUCGAGGCGAUAACAUCAAGCAGAACAGUGAAUGCAUAAGAAUGAGUAUGAUAUAUCAAGACAAGCGUUGGGUAAUAGCUUGCCUCAGAGGGGUUGAGUACAGUAAAGACACUUGCUGUUUCUUGACUUAUAAGUAUAGGAAAGAAAAGUAGAAAAGAAUACAAAUAACAGGGAUGAUGACAAUAAGAGUUCAUGGUGUGACUAGGCUACGGUAGGAGAGAAAACAGGAAAAAAGGACGGAUUUAAAUAAUGAUGACAAUAAAAGUUCUUGGUGUUAAUAGACUACGAUAGAAAGGUUCAUGGUGUUAAUAGACUACGAUAGAAAGGUUCAUGGUAUUAGUAGGCUACGAUAGAAAGGUUCAUGGUAUUAAUAGGCUACGAUAGAAAGGUUCAUGGUAUUAGUAGGCUACGAUAGAAAGGUUCAUGGUGUUAAUAGGCUACGAUAGAAAGGUUCAUGGUAUUAGUAGGCUACGAUAGAAAGGUUCAUGGUGUUAAUAGGCUACGAUAGAAAGGUUCAUGGUGUUAAUAGGCUACGAUAGAAAGGUUCAUGGUAUUAAUAGGCUACGAUAGAAAGGUUCAUGGUGUUAAUAGGCUACGAUAGAAAGGUUCAUGGUGUUAAUAGGCUACGAUAGAAAGGUUCAUGGUGUUAAUAGGCUACGAUAGAAAGGUUCAUGGUAUUAAUAGGCUACGAUAGAAAGGUUCAUGGUAUUAGUAGGCUACGAUAGAAAGGUUCAUGGUAUUAGUAGGCUACGAUAGAAAGGUUCAUGGUAUUAGUAGGCUACGAUAGAAAGGUUCAUGGUAUUAGUAGGCUACGAUAGAAAGGUUCAUGGUAUUAGUAGGCUACGAUAGAAAGGUUCAUGGUAUUAGUAGGCUACGAUAGAAAGGUUCAUGGUAUUAAUAGGCUACGAUAGAAAGGUUCAUGGUAUUAAUAGGCUACGAUAGAAAGGUUCAUGGUAUUAGUAGGCUACGAUAGAAAGGUUCAUGGUAUUAGUAGGCUACGAUAGAAAGGUUCAUGGUAUUAGUAGGCUACGAUAGAAAGGUUCAUGGUAUUAGUAGGCUACGAUAGAAAGGUACAAACGUGUUAAAAAAAGACAGAUUACAAAAACGCUGCCUAAACUUCCUCGGUCCUCGUUCUUCUUCUUCUUCUUCUUCUUAUUAUUAUUAUUAUUAUUAUUAUUAUUAUCAUUAUAUACCAAUACCAAUAGCAAUAUACUAAUACAAUACUAAUGCUCAUACCAAUACUAACACUAACACUAACAUUAACAAUAACAUCAAUAUUCAGGUUACAGAGGAUGCGUUCUGAGGCGCGGGGGCAGGAGCGACUCAUUAUGGUUCUGGCCGAUAACUGCCAUUACGUACACGACGACAGGCAGGUGACGUGGGAGCGAGGCAAGCAGCUGGGCCUUGAGGCUGAUCGGCCCUUCUUCGAGGUGUCGGCCGUGACGGGGACCAACGUGGAGGCUGUGCUCAAGGCUAUCACGAGUUCGAUGCUGGCAAAGGACUCCGCGGCGGCGCCCUCCACCUCCGCGGGCAGCACCAAAGCCAGCUGUUGCGUGCAGUGAGUGCCGAGGAAGAAGAGGAGGUGGAGGAGGAGGAGGAGGAGAAGGAAAGGGAAAUAAAAUUAUAGUUGGGUUAUUC